CACGUAGGCAGCGAGCGUUGUUCGGAAUUACUGGGCGUAAAGAGUGUGUAGGCGGUGCUCUAAGUUCGGUGUGAAAUCUCCCGGCUUAACUGGGAGGGUGCGCCGGAAACUGGAGUGCUCGAGCGUGGGAGAGGAAAGCGGAAUUCCUGGUGUAGCGGUGAAAUGCGUAGAUAUCAGGAGGAACACCUGCGGUGUAGACGGCUUUCUGGACCAUUGCUGACGCUGAGACACGAAAGCGUGGGGAUCAAACAGG
rnacentral:rRNA from 1 species